AUUGAACGCUGGCGGCAUGCCUUACACAUGCAAGUCGAACGGCAGCGGACCUUCGGGUGCCGGCGAGUGGCGAACGGGUGAGUAAUAUAUCGGAACGUACCUUUCAGUGGGGGAUAACGUAGCGAAAGUUACGCUAAUACCGCAUAUUCUGUGAGCAGGAAAGCAGGGGAUCGCAAGACCUUGCGCUGAUUGAGCGGUCGAUAUCAGAUUAGGUAGUUGGUGGGGUAAAGGCCUACCAAGCCUACGAUCUGUAGCUGGUCUGAGAGGACGACCAGCCACACUGGGACUGAGACACGGCCCAGACUCCUACGGGAGGCAGCAGUGGGGAAUUUUGGACAAUGGGCGCAAGCCUGAUCCAGCCAUGCCGCGUGCGGG
rnacentral:rRNA from 1 species